AAGAAUUUAAGUUAAAUUUUAAACUUUUAACCUUCAAAGUUAAACAUAGAAAAAAUUCUAAUUCUUA
rnacentral:tRNA from 2 species